rnacentral:lncRNA from 1 species
GGGCAGGGCGCGGGAGGAAGAUGAGGGAGGAGGCCAGCCCUCUCUCGGCCUCUGCCACUGUGCCACCGGAGUAAGUCACUUCCCCUCUCUGAGCCUCGGCGCCCUCCCCUGUAGGAUAACAACACUAUCACUUUCCUCAGGUGACACUGCAGGGACAAUAGACAUUACUAGGAAGCACCCAGCACAUGGUAGGAGCUUUACAUAGCAGAAAGCAAAGCGCAGCCUCCAGGAUGAUGUCAACGGUGCCUCCUCCCCCACCUAGUCUUGAACCUGCAGGAACCUGACCCCCAGGACCAGGCCCGCGGCCCAGCAUUCCAGGGGAUCCCCCAGCUCAGAGCCCCAGAACCAGCCAGCCCCACAGGCCCCUGUCCCUCCAGCAGUGUCUGUCCCCGUCCCACUGCAGGCGAUUCUGAUCCGAGAGCCACAUCUGGCCACGUCACCUUCCCCUCUGCUGACACGCCACAGGGAAGAGCCCUCUGUGUUCCGAGGCUCCGCUGACCCCCUCUUACCGAGGGGAACUGGUGUUUGAAGCCACUAAGAGACGAGUCUGGGGUCACCAGGUCAGUGAGUGCUGAGCAGAGACGGAACAAGCCAGGAAGGCCAAGCUCUGGAAGCCAAGAUCCAGGUGUCAGUGCCACUCAAUGGGACAACCCCUCCCCCGCUGCGUGCCAUCCCCACCUGUACCUCCUUAAGGGAAUGGCUUUCUUUCAAAGGACGUAAAACCACUCAUUUCCUGUCAACUUGGCCUGACUUCAGCGACACGGUCCAGGAAACCCAGGGUCUGACGUACUAAACGUGUGUCGUCAAAACUCAUCCAAAUAACUACUAACCGUCACAAUGAAGUGCUCCCGUUCCUGGGGGUCCCACAUGCCGCUGAUGGCUGGUGAGCUUCCUCCCGCCCUGGAGGUCAGAGGGAGCCGCCUCCCCAAGUCGUGUUUGAUUGAUACCCACCAAAGCCUCCCAGGUUAUCCCACUCAUCGUGGAGUGAUUGAUGUUAAAAGUACAGCUUCCACGAUCUUCUUGAGACGUCUGAGCAAGCUCAAGGCUGUCGGAGGCAGACAGACGCCCCAGGUACCGUCGGGCGGCAGUUACAUUCCUCGAGAAGAGCUCUGCUCUUCCCUCCUCAGCCUUCCCUCCCAACAGACCCAGCCUCCACUCCUAACAGACCCAGCCUCCCCUCCCAACAGACCCAGCCUCCACUCCUACAGACCCAGCCUCCACUCCUAACAGACUCAGCCUCCCCUCCUAACAGACCCAGCCUCCACUCCUACAGACCCGGCCUCCAUUCCUACAGACCGGGCCUCCACUCCUAACAGACCCAGCCUCCCCUCCUAACAGACUCAGCCUCCACUCCUACAGACCCAGCCUCCAUUCCUACAGACCCGGCCUCCCCUCCUAACAGACUCAGCCUCCACUCCUACAGACCCAGCCUCCACUCCUAACAGACUCAGCCUCCACUCCUACAGACCCAGCCUCCAUUCCUACAGACCCAGCCUCCACUCCUAACAGACCCAGCCUCCCCUCCUAACAGACCCGGCCUCCACUCCUACAGACCCAGCCUCCAUUCCUACAGACCCAGCCUCCCCUCCUAACAGACUCAGCCUCCACUCCUACAGACCCAGCCUCCAUUCCUACAGACCCAGCCUCCCCUCCUAUCAGACCCAGCCUCCCCUCCUAACAGACUCAGCCUCCACUCCUACAGACCCAGCCUCCACUCCUACAGACCCAGCCUCCCCUCCUAACAGACUCAGCCUCCACUCCUACAGACCCAGCCUCCACUCCUAACAGACCCAGCCUCCACUCCUACAGACUCAGCCUCCACUCCUACAGACCCAGCCUCCCCUUCAAACAGACGGAGCCCCCCGGGCAGUGGAGGGUGUUGUGGGGAGGAGACCGGGACCCUCAGAAAAGAGCCGGCUCAUCCCGGCAGGCCCCGCCCCAG